rnacentral:rRNA from 1 species
UACGUAGGGUGCAAGCGUUAAUCGGAAUUACUGGGCGUAAAGCGUGCGCAGGCGGUGAUGUAAGACAGAUGUGAAAUCCCCGGGCUCAACCUGGGAACUGCAUUUAUGACUGCAUCGCUGGAGUGCGGCAGAGGGGGAUGGAAUUCCGCGUGUAGCAGUGAAAUGCGUAGAUAUGCGGAGGAACACCGAUGGCGAAGGCAAUCCCCUGGGCCUGCACUGACGCUCAUGCACGAAAGCGUGGGGAGCAAACAGG